AAAGUCCCGGCUAACUUCGUGCCAGCAGCCGCGGUAAAACGGAGGGGACAAGUGUUAUUCGGAAUGACUGGGCGUAAAGAGUUCGUAGGCGGACAUACGAGUUUGAAGGACCAACCCAUAGAACUCCUUUGGGAAAUCUUUAAUAAGCGUAUGUCUUGAGUCAGAUAGAGGAAAGUGGAAUGUCAUGUGUAGGGAUAAAAUCCGCGAAGAUGUGAUGGAAGGCCGAAAGCGAAGGCAACUUUCUGGGUCUUGACUGACGCUAAAGAACGAAAGCGUGGGUAGCGACAGGGAUUAGAGACCCCUCUAGUCCACGCCGUAAACGAUGAGUGUUCACUUUGGGUGUUUACAUCCGAGGUUUAGCUAACGCGUUAAACACUCCGCCUGGGGAGUACGGUCGCAAGGCUGAAACUCAAGGGAAUUGACGGGAGCUCGCACAAGUGGUGGAUCAUCUUGUUUAAUUCGAUAAUACGCGCAAAACCUUACCAACCCUUGACAUCUUUUU
rnacentral:rRNA from 1 species